GCGAGAGUGGUGGAACGGGAGACACGCUAGAUUUAGGAUCUAGUGCCUUCGGGCGUGCGGGUUCGAAUCCCGCCUCUCGCA
rnacentral:tRNA from 2 species